ACAUGUCUCUUUGUGUGUUAUAAAUAAAGAGUCGGGCCUGCUCGGUGAAUAAUUGUUUUAACAGCUGCGGUAUUUUAACUGUACUAAGGUAGCAUAAUAAUUUGCCUUAUAAUUUGAGGCUAGAAUGAAUGGUUUGACGAAGGUUAAUCUGUCUCUAUUCUAUUUUUUAGAAAUUAAUUUUUAAAGUGAAAAAGCUUAUAUUUUUUAAAGGGACGAGAAGACCCUAUUGAGCUUAUAAUUUUAUUACUAUUAUUAUUAUAUGUGUGUAGUAGUAUAUAAAUUUUAAUUGGGGUGAUUAGGGAAUAAAAUAAUAAAUAUAGUAACUUCCUUAGAAUUAAUAUUGUUGGGUAAAGUAACCAAUAUUAUUGCUUAUAUUAUAGUUACCAUAGGGAUAACAGCGUAAUUUAUUUAGAGAGUUCUUAUUAAAAAAUGAGAUUGCGACCUCGAUGUUGGAUUAAAGUAACCUUAAGGUGCAGAAGCUUUAAUAGGUAAAUCUGUUCGAUUUUUAAAACUUUACAUGAUCUGA
rnacentral:rRNA from 1 species